CGUCUCAGUUCAGAUUGCAGGCUGCAACUCGCCUGCAUGAAGUCGGAAUUGCUAGUAAUCGCAGAUCAGCAUGCUGCGGUGAAUACGUUCCCGGGCCUUGUACACACCGCCCGUCACACCAUGGGAGUCGGUAACACCCGAAGUCGGUAGCCUAACCGUAAGGAGGGCGCCGCCGAAGGUGGGAUUGAUGACUGGGGUGAAGUCGUAACAAGGUAAC
rnacentral:rRNA from 1 species